rnacentral:rRNA from 1 species
AGCGAACGCUGGCGGCAGGCCUAAUACAUGCAAGUCGAACGAACCCUUCGGGGUUAGUGGCGGACGGGUGAGUAACACGUGGGAACGUGCCUUUAGGUUCGGAAUAACCCAGGGAAACUUGUGCUAAUACCGAAUGUGCCCUUCGGGGGACAGAGUUGUCGCCUUUAGAGCGGCCCGCGUCUGAUUAGCUAGUUGGUGAGGUAAUGGCUCACCAAGGCUACCGUCACGAGCUGGUCUGAGAGGAUGACCAGCCACAUUGGGACUGAGACACGGCCCAAACUCCAACGGUAGGCAGCAGUGGGGAAGCUUGCGCAAUGGGCGAAAGCCUGACGCAGCCAUGCCGCGUGGAUGAUGAAGGUCUUAGGAUUGUAAAAUCCUUUCACCGGUGAAGAUAAUGACUGUAGCCGGAGAAGAAGCCCCGGCUAACUUCGUGCCAGCAGCCGCCGUAAAAC